rfam:Anncaliia algerae PRA109 cont4.4015, whole genome shotgun sequence.
GGGGAAUUAGCUCAGUUGGUAGAGCGCUUGAUUCGCAUUUGAGAGGUCGUGGGUUCAAUUCCUGCAUUCUCCA